ACUACGGGUGGCAGCAGUGAGGAAUAUUGGUCAAUGGACGCAAGUCUGAACCAGCCAUGCCGCGUGCAGGAAGACGGCUCUAUGAGUUGUAAACUGCUUUUGUACGAGGGUAAACGCAGAUACGCAUAUCUGUCUGAAAAUAUCGUACGAAAAAGGAUCGGCUAACUCCGGUCCAGCAGCUGCGGUAAUAAGGAGGAUUCAAGCGUUAUCCGGAUGUAAUGGGGUUAAAUGGUGAGUAGGCCGUCGGAUAAGUUAGAGGUGAAAUCCCGAGGCUCAACUUCGGAAUUGCCUCUGAUACUGUUCGGCUAGAGAGUAGUUGCGGUAGGCGGAAUGUAUGGUGUCGCGGUGAAAUGCUUAGAGAUCAUACAGAACACCGAUUGCGAAGGCAGCUUACCAAGCUACUUCUGACGUUGAGGCACGAAAGCGUGGGGAGCAAACAGGAUUAGAUACCCCAGUAGUC
rnacentral:rRNA from 1 species